rnacentral:lncRNA from 1 species
CCCCCGGGGUCCAAUCGGUUUGUAAGGGCCGACAGAGGGUUUUAGAACCAUAAGAUGAAGCUACUGGGCUAGAACCUUUCCCCUAUGUUCUUGGUUGGCGAAUUUCCUUGCGUUUAACCGUCUCGGACGUAAUCCUUCUUUCUUUCGGUUUCUAUCUUUCUAUCAGUAAGCCUGCUUCGCUUCUCUAAUCGCUAAGCCUUUCUACCGUUGGAGCGGUGCCCUUCCUUUAUCUUCUCUUCUGUGUUAAAACCAUAUUGCUCAGUUUCAGUUGAAGAACAGGUUCUCAAUCUAUUUAUGCCUAUCCUCACGCCUAUAAGAAAUUAUUUCCGGAACGUGAGCUUGUAUUUCACACAAACCUAUUCAUUCGAUCAGAGUUUGAUAGAGAUUCAUAAUCACCGAAAGCGGAGUUAUGGUAUGGGCCUGCAUGUAUGGGUGCUGUUCGAGGAUUUGAUCGUCGGCCCUAUUGAGAAAUCGGCUGUUCCUGAGAUCCAUGGAUUCUGAUUCAUUCGUAGUAGGGGACUCUCGUUCGGCUAAUAGCUUGGCUUGGGUCGAUACAGAAAAUUUCUUUAAUUCAAGCCGUCUAUCAGUCGUUAGGAGUUUGAUGUGUCUUCAGUAUCAGGAUGAGAAAAGAAAGAAGGGCAAGACUCAAAGCUGCCCCUUUUUUGAAGACGAGAAUUCCA